UUAUGGCCAUAUCACAUUGAAACACAUGUUCUUGUACAAUCACUGAAGUUAAGCAAUGUUGAACCUGGUGAGUACUUAGAUAGGUAACCACCUGAGAAUACCAGGUGCUGUAAG